CUCCUUCCCUCAACCUGGAAAGCGGAUUAUGCCCAAGCAAUUGGUUGAAGUAAUUGGUUUAAUCGCAGCCCUUAGUUUCGAAAUCGACUGCUCGCAAUUCGUACUUUUUGUCUGUGAGGACACAGUAUUUGCACCGUAGCGAAUGCCCUGUUUUGGUCUCAUGGCAUUGGAGAAACGACACCAUCCUUCCCUAGCCCACAUGAGGCACUCUCGAGGGUAUCAAACAAACUCUGGAAAAAGCCACAGGAGGUUUUGGGCAGCGAUGUUCUGGCUCUCCAUGAUGGCUUCUUUUAUGGUUGGUGGCAUUUCUGAUCUAAGGCUGAGGAAUCCCUUGCGGUGAUGGUCGAAGAUGGUUUUUGGGAGCUAAGGAAGUCUACGAUGGUUCUCAAAAUGUGAUUUUGAUGACAAAGAUUCCUGUCAAGAAAUGCUAAGGAAGAGAUGAGACCUUUGGGUUGCUUGGGCAUUGGCUUGAGUCUUGUCUCAGGUUGCUUGUUCUUGGCCGUUGUCGCGCAACUAUACUAUUUCUUCUGGUGGAAGAAGAGAAAAAUUGAUGGAGACUUGUUUUGUUGGAAGAAAUCUUCUUUUUCGAGCUCGGCAGAUCUCAAUCCCCAAGAAAUCUGCGUGUCAGUGAUCGGAGCAAUUCCUUCUGAUGAAGAGCAACUCGAUUCCAACUCUACCAGAGAUUUGCGCUGGAAGCCAUUUGGAGAAGAAGACACAGUGGAAGCAGAGCUCAUGAGGCUUCACCGCCUUGCAGGUCCUCCGAGGUCUCUCUGCACCAUCGCAGAAGAGACACAGCAGGACUUGGUGUCAGAGGACGUGAGAUACAGAGUGGGGAAGAGCUUGCGAGAUCUGCUUCUCAUAGCGGAGAGUCCAAUCUUGACACCUCUGUCCUCCCCGCCUUUCUUCUCCUCGUCCCCGACUCCCAUGGCUUGUUACAGCCAAAAUGGGUUCAACCCACUCUUCGAACCCUCGGACGAAGAUGGUUUGACUUGGAUAUGGUCCUCCCCACCUCCAAAGUUGAAGUUCCUCAAGGAUGCAGAGGAGAAGCUGUACAGGAAGACACUGCUGGAAGAAGAACUCAAGGAUCACAGUAGUAGCGGGUCUAUGAAGAACAAGGAUAUAAUAGAAGCCUGUGCUCCGUCUCUUUCUCCUGUUGCUACCUCAUCUCCCGAAGGCCCAGAAGAGCAAAAUGGUUUCUUCAUCACCACAGUCACCAAAACGACUCCAGCUAUUCGCAGGUGAUACUGUGUUACCUUCGUCUCCUUCAAAUAUCAAACAAGUAAAUAGGAAACCAUGUUCCACAGAAUGAGACCUGACCUGGUUUCUCAGUGAUCUCCCAUCAAAUGUAUCAGGUAUUUCUGUAAAGAUCAUGAAGAUGAGUAUAAUUAAAGCUUUGAAAUGGUCUCUUGGGGUUGUAGGGAAACAGUAUGGUCAUGUUUCUCUGUUGUGUUAUCUUUUCUCCACUUAGCUUCGGCAUCAUUAUUUUUGCUUUGACCCCUCCAUCCAUUAACAUAACCUUUCUUCUCAUUUAGGACUUCCAUCUGACAUUUAGGUGUGGCCUACAUUUACUAGGCAUCAGAAAGAUUUAUAUUUGCCUUCUCCUUGGAGUGCCCGACUCAUAAGUAUGCAUGUGGUUGAUGCUGCUGCUACAGCAGCGACUGUCGUUGCGAAUGCCCUUCGUCGAAAGAAGAGGCAAUCUGUCGUUUCUGAGAGGUAGGCCUCCCUGAUCUUUCCGUUACUCUGGGACAAGUUCAAGUGAACCUUUGUUUCAUGUCUGUCUUCUUGGUGCUACUUCAACUCCACACCCGGAAGCUUGUGCUACAUCAGAAUAGCCCAUGAGCAGAGUGUUCUAUCCAUGGUCUGGAAUCUAUUUAGUUUAGUGGACAUAGAUACAGCAAAAGACAUAAGCUAUCAGCACAAAAAGCAUACUGAAACGUUGGAUCGAAUGCUUCUGAAUCAAGCAGAGAUGACAAGAAGCAGAUUUUGUUGAUGACAUUAUAGGACUCAAGGCUCAUACCUCCUCAUGUAUAGGCCAUACCUUAUGAUGAGGGAAUAAUGUGGAAUGAGCACUGAAUUCCUGUGUCAUACAGACAGGAGGCAUCUUGACCACCUAAGCCAGAAUCAUGGAGGAAGACGGUCAAAGAGUACACAACAUAGUAACAGCUGUAGCAGCGACUGCAAGAUGAAUUCUGAACACAAAUGUGGCCUCCACCUUGUUUUUACUUCAUUGUAUGACCCUUGUUUUCUUGCAUUCUCUUACUGCAGUCUGUCUCAAAUCCGCUUGUGCGUGGUCCUGGAU